rnacentral:tRNA from 1 species
GCCUUCGUAGCUCAGUGGAUAGAGCGCGGCUCUCCUAAAGCCGGUCAUUGCGUGCGUUCGACUCGCACCGAGGGCGCCA